rnacentral:rRNA from 3 species
ACUUGGCCACGGAGUCGUUUUCCUGACGGAGUCUAUGUCAUUCAUUAUACCCUAUUGUAUGUCAUUGAAUGUCUCUACAUGGGCUUAUGUGCCCAUGAAAAUUGUAAUACAACUUUCAGCAACGGAUCUCUUGGCUCUCGCAU